rnacentral:snoRNA from 1 species
GCACAGGUUUGGAUUUAUGGCAGGCCCAACCCUGCGGGCCUCUCAGUCCAUGCCAGAGCCAACUGUAGCCCAGCCACUGCCUUGCCUCCCAGCACUCAAGUGACUUGCAUAGUU